UGGGGAAUAUUGGGCAAUGGGCGAAAGCCUGACCCAGCAACGCCGCGUGAGGGAAGAAGGUUUUCGGAUCGUAAACCUCUGUCCUUGGGGACGAAAGAAAUGACGGUACCCAAGGAGGAAGCCCCGGCUAACUACGUGCCAGCAGCCGCGGUAAUACGUAGGGGGCGAGCGUUGUCCGGAAUGAUUGGGCGUAAAGGGCGCGUAGGCGGCCUGUUAAGUCUGGAGUGAAAUUCCUGCUUUCAAGGUAGGAAGUGCUUUGGAAACUGGCGGGCUGGAGUGCAGGAGAGGUUAGCGGAAUUCCCGGUGUAGCGGUGAAAUGCGUAGAGAUCGGGAGGAACACCAGUGGCGAAAGCGGCGCCCUAGCAUUGGCCUGACGCUCAUGUGCGAAAGCGUGGGGAGCGAACGGG
rnacentral:rRNA from 1 species